rnacentral:rRNA from 1 species
UACGUAGGUGACCAGCGUUGUCCGGAUUUACUGGGCGUAAAGAGCGCGCAGGCGGUCGUUCAAGUCGAGUGUGAAAGCCCCCGGCUCAACUGGGGAACUGCACAGGAAACUGGCGGGCUUGAGUUCGGGAGAGGGAAGCGGAAUUCCGGGUGUAGCGGUGAAAUGCGUAGAUAUCCGGAGGAACACCGGUGGCGAAGGCGGCUUCCUGGACCGACACUGACGCUGAGGCGCGAAAGCUAGGGGAGCAAACGGG